CACUUGGUGGUGCAGUGGUUUGCACUGCCGCCUAAGAGCUAGAAGGUCGUGGGUUCGAAUCCGGCCUGGGGCC